GACGAACGCUGGCGGCGUGCUUAAUACAUGCAAGUCGAACGGAAAGGCCCUGCUUUUGUGGGGUGCUCGAGUGGCGAACGGGUGAGUAACACGUGAGUAACCUGCCCUUGACCUUGGGAUAACUUCAGGAAACUGGGGCUAAUACCGGAUAGGAGCUCCUGCUGCAUGGUGGGGGUUGGAAAGUUUCGGCGGUUGGGGAUGGACUCGCGGCUUAUCAGCUUGUUGGUGGGGUAGUGGCUUACCAAGGCUUUGACGGGUAGCCGGCCUGAGAGGGUGACCGGCCACAUUGGGACUGAGAGACGGCCCAGACUCCUACGGGAGGCAGCAGGGGGGAAUAUUGCACAAUGGGCGGAAGCCUGAUGCAGCAACGCCGCGUGCGGGAUGACGGCCUUCGGGUUGUAAACCGCUUUCGCCUGUGACGAAGCGUGAGUGACGGUAAUGGGUAAAGAAGCGCCGGCUAACUACGUG
rnacentral:rRNA from 1 species